UUGAAUCUAUUGGAAAAACCGUAGAAAAACAAUAGAUUCUUAUGUUAACAAAGAUUUCUAUUGUAUACGUAUUGUACAACAUUUUAUUUGCCGUAACGAUUACAAUAGACUUACAUUAGAUUUCGUUGUUACAGUAUUUUCUAUGGGCAUUCAGUAGAUCAACAUAAGAUUUCAUUGUUACAGUGUUUUCUAUUGAUAUUAAGUAGAAUAACAUUAGAUUCCAUUGUUAUUGUUAAGUUUCACACCGAACCCGAUGGCAUCUGAUGUGUGCCAUGGGAUUUGAUAAAUUUUGUGCAACCAUCACACAUGUUUGUGUUAUUAAUUUUUAGCGUGUUUGUUGUUGUAAAAACGUUGGACCCAGCAGAAAAAAGAACACAAAAUGUAUCAGAGCACUCGUUUGCAUUAAUUUCAAAGAUCAAUUCAGUGGCAUCCGGUAGGACACAAAGUGCGCUACGGCCUGCUAAUUAGGACCGAACCCAUUGCGCAAAGCGUCGAAGCGAAAGAUCUGCUGCCGCAAAAGUUUUCAACAGCUUGGUGAGCAGAAUGUUUCUUUGUUUAGCACCCCGAAAAUUCUGUGCUUUAGCUACCUCCGGGCCUAUCGUGAACAGGAAAGGAUUUCCUGCUCCCCGCAGCACCUCGAACAAACGCCGGAACUCUAUUGCAUGGUAUCGGAACAGAAGGUUUCUCCUGACGGAGCACAAACGGCACACCAUUGAAAUGAUUGGAAAUGGAUCUAUCAACAAAACCUGGGGCAUUGCUAUAAAUAGAUCUACAGGGUUCGCAAACGCUGGAGCGAUGUGAAUACGACUGCAAAUGAUUUCCUCUGGUAGCAGGAAGUGCUUCACGGGGGAUGCGAAUGAAUCCCGGAGGAUGCCGAACAGUAGCAGGUCCUAUAAUACGCAAGAUAAUACGUUAUUCAAUGUCACAAGGACGUCAAGCCGGUUCAUCGAAGGGGAAUGUCAAGCCGGUGGUAUCGAAGGAGAAUAUUUCCGAUGAAUGCGCACGAUCUGGAUUGGUUCCUGCGAAAAGGAUAGGAGCACUGCUGCAAGAGCUGCAAGAGGGCCAAGUAAUAUAAUGGCUUUAUUGUAAAAAGCAAAUCUAAAUCCCCCUUCGUUGCAUUAAUAUAUCUUUUUUUUGUGAAACUUAUUACUGAAUGAGAACCAUCUUUUGCAUUUGGUCGCUUUGGAAGUUCUUUUGAUAUAGGAUCGCUCUUUAAGCUUGGAACAUAUGCGUGCGUUUGAGUCAAAUUUUAUAGUUAUCCCCUUGGAUAAACUAUCAAAUUCGACGCAAUUGCAUACUGUAUUUCACAAGCUGUUCAUCAAGUGUCUAUAAAGUUGCAAUAAUGGUUAAGCACGCUGUAAUGUUACUUU